rnacentral:SRP_RNA from 11 species
GGAUCGAAAGGAAGCAGCACCAGUGGAAUCUUUUUCUGU